AUGGCCGCUAAUCAUAAGGCUCACUCUGGUGAGAACGAAAGUCAGCAGAAAAAAUCCAGUAGGACUGCUAAGCGACCACUUGAGAAUGAAAGGGAGCCCUUGGUGGAUGAAAGUGAGCAACCAAGCAAGAAAGUAAAGUUCUCUGUUGGUGAAAAAGUUUGGGCAUUGUAUAAGGAUGGACAUUCCUACAAGGCCAGGAUUAUAAGGAUUAACAAAAAUUCCUACAGGGUGAAGUAUAUUCAAGAUGGAGUGGUCCAUGAUGUGGAUGGUGAAGGACUCGUUACUUAUGGUUGAAUUACCAGAAAUUUUCAUCUUAUGAACACAAUAGAGAUGUUAGAUCUUAAUCAAACUUGCACUUGUAUCAAUCCUUACGAGAACCAGUCAGAUUCCAUAUUACAAAAUCCUAUGAACUGAUUUUAUGUCAAAUUAACUUCCUCUGUUUCAAAUUAAAAUAGGUAUGUCCCAGUAACUAAUGAAGAUGCUGAUUUGAAAACUAUCAGGGGAGAAUAAUUAACUAUUACAAAUAACCUCACUUUAUUUUUAUGUUUUAUAUAUAUUGCAUGCAUGACCAUCUUGUUUUCUGUGCUAGCAUCUUUUAUACUUUGUAAUACCAUUUUGUAAUUUCAUCCAGUUUUGUGAGGCAUAGUUUUAUUUGAUUUUUGAACUGGUUGUGACUUUGGGUAGAUUGACGGGGGCAGUCUGUCGUGUCAAUUACCUCCCUUUGUUUCAAAUUAAAAUACUAGGUUUAUUUCAGUAAGUAAUAAAGAUGUUUUGAAAUUUGAUUUAUACCCUGGGAUGGACUCGGACAAUCAGGGUACAUAACUAUGGACUAAUUUUUGUCAGAUUACCUCCCUUUGUUUCAAAUUAAAAUGGAUAUAUCUCAGUAGCUAAUGAAGAUACUGAUGUGGAAAUUCAUUAAUGAUGAAAGAUGGGCUCAGACAAUCAAGAAAGAUAACUGUUGACAAAUUACCUCCCUUUAUUUUUAUAUUGCAUAUAUUGCAUGGCCCUCUUGUUUACUGACCUAGCUU